GUACACGCUGUGACUAGCAUAUCAAUAAGCGGAGGAAAAGAAACUAACAAGGAUUCCCCUAGUAACGGCGAGUGAAGCGGGAAGAGCUCAAAUUUGAAAUCUUAAAGGGUUUCCCUUUACGAAUUGUAGUUUAAAGAAGUGUUUUCUGUUUAGGUUUUGGUAAAAGUUCUUUGGAAUAGGACAUCAUAGAGGGUGAGAAUCCCGUAUUUGACCUUUACUUUCAACUUUGUGAUACACUUUCAAAGAGUCGGAUUGUUUGGGAAUGCAGUCCAAAAUGGGUGGUAAAUUUCAUCUAAAGCUAAAUAUUGGCGAGAGACCGAUAGCGAACAAGUACCGUGAGGGAAAGAUGAAAAGAACUUUGAAAAGAGAGUUAAACAGUACGUGAAAUUGUCAAAAGGGAAGCGUUUGACACCAGUGUUAUUUUUCUGAAAAUCAAUUAAAGGACUGUUUAUGCUAAGCUGUUUAGACUUUAUCAGCUAUCUGUUUAGUUUUGAGCUUUUCUUUAAUGCACUUUUCAGUUAACAAGUCAACAUCAAUUUCCUUUGCUGUAAAAAAGCUUGAGGAAGGUGGCUUGAGAUUCGUCUUAAGUGUUUAUAGCCUCUUGCCUAUGCAGUCGGAGAGAUUGAGGUCUGCAGCGUAGAUCCUUCGGGGCUAAAUGCAUUUGUGCUAAGUUAUAGCAUUUUAUAGACAACUUGUUGACUAUGAUUUGUCUUGUAGCUUACUCGCUUAUGUUAUUUUACCUACGCUUAGGAUGUUGAAGAUGUAGCACAUCAU
rnacentral:rRNA from 1 species